AACGAACGCUGGCGGCGUGCCUAACACAUGCAAGUCGUGCGAGAAAGUUCCUUCGGGAGCGAGUAAAGCGGCGCACGGGUGAGUAACACGUAGGUAACCUGCCCCCCAGUCUGGAACAACUAGAGGAAACUCUAGCUAAUGCCGGAUGAGACCACGAUCCCUUCGGGGGUUGCGGCCAAAGAUGGCCUCUACUUGUAAGCUAUCGCUGAGGGAUGGGCCUGCGGGCCAUUAGCUUGUUGGUGAGGUAACGGCUCACCAAGGCUGUGAUGGCUAGCUGGUCUGAGAGGAUGACCAGCCACACUGGGACUGAGACACGGCCCAGACUCCUACGGGAGGCAGCAGUGGGGAAUAUUGCGCAAAUGGGCGGAAAGCCUGACGCAGCGACGCCGCGU
rnacentral:rRNA from 1 species